GCUUUCAAACACACAAGCAACAACCACUACACAAAAACCUAUGGCGCUUCUUGGGUUGGGAUUUUGAGAUUGAACCCUAGGCGUUUCCUAAGCAAAACGAGGCCUACGUGGGAGAGGCAAGAGGCAUGACUGAGGUCUUUUGGACUCUACCAUGUUUCAAUGAGGGGCUUUUAUAGCAGAGCACCGACUAUGGUGUGAAGUGCUUUUCCAAUGCUGAAAAAAGUAGCACUUUGUUUUUCACUGGCCAUUACUGUUUGUGGGUAGCCUCCCCAAGGUUUCUGAAGACAAGGAGACAUGAGGGAUGGAUUUGGGUACCAACACUCAUCACAAAUCCUUAUCAGAUACCUCAAUGGGCUGCUGCCUCUAUCUGCAUGGUCUUCCUCUGGUACUGGAACCACUUGAUAUAAAUUGCUCAUGAAUAAGUAUCUUGCUUAUAGAAACUCAGGCACCAACUGGAAGAACUAGAGGCUGUGGGUCAACUCCACCUGCAUCUAUGACAGCACAGCUCUAUAAACAAUGUUUAUAUGUUUUUAUUCAGAAAACAAAGAUAUCUCUAAUUUAAAAAAAUUUAAAAAGCUUAAAGAAGAAUGUUAUCUUUUAAAAAAUAUUUAUUUAUUGGCAUGAGUUAAGAAUUACCCAAAUUUCUUUUACAUACCUAUACAAGUGAUAUAAUUUGUUUUCUUUAAAUUACUAAUUUAUUGUGUAAUAUUUACGAAUUGUUAAAUAUUGCAUUGGGAUUGCAUUCACAAUUUGAUUUAUUACUUUCCUAUUAUAUUGCUUAAUUUAGAGUAGUUUAUUUAGAUUGUCAUAUCUAUAGCUAACUACAAUCAAUUCACUUCUACUUUUGUAAAACUUCAGCAGCUCUGGGGAUUGAGUUGGCCAUUGCCUUAUAGUUAUGACGGG
rnacentral:lncRNA from 10 species